GGCUUCCAUAGGCCAGGUACUAUGUCCCCAGAGAGGAACAUAGUACCUGCCCAAGGCCUCACCCCUAGGAAGUGACAGAACUUAGUCAGUGGAGUCUCUGACACACACAGACUUAGUGGCUGCCAGGAUUGUGGAAAAGUAGCCAGGGUAUCGAUUUUCCAACUCUUGCAGAAAACCUCUUGGAUCCUCCUUGAGACCAGUCCAUGGCACUCAACGGAUCUCAGAAAUGACACUCUCCUGGGAACAUUUGGCCUGGAACAUAUUUACAAAACUCCAGAGGGGAUAGAAAUAUCCCAACCCACUCCCUACAGACUCAAAUUAGCAAUUUUCUUCUUCUUUAUAACCCCUCUGGAAAUUUGAACUAUGUAAUAUUAGUCUAAAAUUAGGAGCAUAAGUCACAAGAGAAAAGUGCCACUACUUUGGGAGAAAAUAUUUUCGUAGCCUCAUCCUGAGCAUUUGUUCUAAAUCAGAACACAGCAAUGGCUCUUUCAAACACAUAAAUUUUUUUUUUCUCCUAAUACUUGUGGAUUGGGGCAAACAUCUUUUCAGAGAUGUUUUUCUGUUGGCAGUACUGGGAUUGAAACCAGGGGUGCUCCACAGCCCCAGCCCCUUUUAUAUAUUUGAGACAGGGUCUCAUUAAGUUGCUGAGGCUGGCCUCCAACUUGCGAUCCUCCUGCCUCAGCCUCUGUAAAGACAUUGGAUCAGGAAGAGCCAAGGGCCCCCCAGGAUGCCUUUCUUACACAAAGGUACUUUAGUUUUAAAAUUUGAUUAGUUAACUUUUUGUGUGAUGGUGGGGACAGAACCCAGGGCCUUAUACAUGCUAGGCAAAUGCUCUACCACUGAGCCACAACCCCAGACCACAAAGAGCACCUUAAUAAUAACAACCCCAGCAAGGCUCUGCAGCCAGUACUGGUUGACAUGUGCCAAGAAAACCAUGCAGAAGUGUUUUACAACCGUCAUUACACUUAAUCCUCACGAUAGCCCUGCAAGAUGGGUUCUGUCACCCUGUUUUACACACCAGGGCAAUUUGAAGUGGUUAAGAGAUUGGCCAGAGCCAUAUGGCUACGGAACCAGACGUUGUGGAGUUAGAAUUUUAACCCAAGUCAGCAGAACGCUGAAGUCGACAUCAAGAUGCAGUUGCCAUUUAUUGAACACCUACUGCCUGUUCACAGAAAGGACUUUAUUUUUCUAAUUAAAUUAUUUGUGUGCGCUUGUGCAGUGCUGGCGAGCUAAACCAGGACCCUGAGCUUGCUAGACAUAGGUGUCACUGUCACUGAGCAACACCACCACCAGGUCUCAUUUUCUAGAAUCCCAUGACAAACGCAGAGCCUUUCUGGAAAAGUUGGGUGGGCAGGUUUUGAGUUAUGGGUGACCAGGGGUAAUGGUGCCCAACACUGGGCCAAAAGAUUGUAACUUGGGUUAGAGGGACUGAAGUGGGAAAGAACCCUCAGGGGGCAGUCAUACGUGCGUGGUGUGUGUGACUCAGAGGCAGAGCCGGGACCAAGGGCUGAUGGUCAUCCCCAGAGCAUCCAUGCCUUCGGGAAGUUGUGCAGGGGCCGGACAAGCAGUUGGAAGCAUCGUAGAGGGGAUUUCUACUUGGGAAGCACUGACUUUUGGGGAAGUGAGCUUUCCAAAUUUCAGAUUGGAUCCUAUCCCCUUUCUGCUUGGCAACAUCUACUGGAUCCCAACGGUCUGCAAAUCCAAUCCAAGAUGGCGCCUCUCCAUGAAGAAGGUUUGUAGUAGAUAUCAAGUCAUCAGGGCCUGGCUUCGGUCACCUCAAAGAAGUCAUGAAAAAAAAAA